rnacentral:rRNA from 1 species
AUUGAACGCUGGCGGCAGGCUUAACACAUGCAAGUCGAGCGGAGAUGAGGUGCUUGCACCUUAUCUUAGCGGCGGACGGGUGAGUAAUGCUUAGGAAUCUGCCUAUUAGUGGGGGACAACAUCCCGAAAGGAAUGCUAAUACCGCAUACGCCCUACGGGGGAAAGCAGGGGAUCUUCGGACCUUGCGCUAAUAGAUGAGCCUAAGUCGGAUUAGCUAGUUGGUGGGGUAAAGGCCUACCAAGGCGACGAUCUGUAGCGGGUCUGAGAGGAUGAUCCGCCACACUGGGACUGAGACACGGCCUAGACUCCUACGGGAGGCAGCAGUGGGGAAUAUUGGACAAUGGGCGGAAGCCUGAUCCAGCCAUGCCGCGUGUGUGAAGAAGGCCUUUUGGUUGUAAAGCACUUUAAGCGAGGAGGAGGCUACCUGGAUUAAUACUCUAGGAUAGUGGACGUUACUCGCAGAAUAAGCACCGGCUAACUCUGUGCCAGCAGCCGCCGUAACAC